rnacentral:rRNA from 1 species
UACGUAGGAGGCAAGCGUUGUCCGGAGUUACUGGGCGUAAAGCGUACGCAGGCGGUCCAAUCAGUCUGUAGGGACAGGGCACAGCUUAACUGUGUCAGGCUUAUGGAAACUGUUGGACUUGAGGGCUUCAGAGGGAUGGGGAAUUCCGGGUGGAGUGGUGAAAUGCGUAGAGAUCCGGAAGAACACCAAAGGCGUAGGCACCAUCCUGGGGAGUCACUGACGCUCAUGUACGAAAGCUAGGGGAGCGAACGGG